rnacentral:lncRNA from 1 species
AUUGGGGGCCUUUCCAACAUCCCAGACAGUUCAAGGGCGAUGAGGUACCUUGGAGGUGAGGACAUGGAGUCCAGUGAGUUGAUAAAAUCAGAACCUUCAUCGUUGAUUGCCAGAGUUUGCAGACCACAGCUGAAAAGGUACGUAAUAGCGGAGAGUAGUUGUGUGAAGAUUUUAUCAUCUUUAUUUAUAUGGAGCUUGUAAAUGGCAAGCUUUUUUAGCCCUAUCAUCUGAUGAAGGCCAUCGACAGCUGUUGAUUCCCCAACAAUCUCAAUCCCUGACAGUACACGGAGUGCUUUCAUUCCCUCCUUAUUUUUCUCUUGCGUGGACGUACUUAUAACUGUGUCGUCCUCACUUUUUUCAUGAGCCGAUGUACUUUCCUUUGGUUCCUUAAUUUUUUCUUGAGGCAACCUCAAGCCCUUCCGUGGGUUUUUAUUGCCACCAAGUAUGCUACUGAUCCGUUUUAGCUUCUCUACAGAUUUUGGUAGCUCCUCAACAUGUGUCUCCCUUAUGUCAAGAGUUUCAAGAUACUCCAAUUUCCCAAUCUUCUUGGGGAUUUUUGCAAUCUCUGUUCUUCGGAGGCUUAGAUACUUCAACGCAAGCAUUUUGCAUAUAUGAUUCUUCAG